GACGAACGCUGGCGGCGUGCUUAACACAUGCAAGUCGAGCGAUGAAGUCCCUUCGGGAACGGAUUAGCGGCGGACGGGUGAGUAACACGUGGGUAACCUGUCUCAUAGAGGGGAAUAGCCUUUCGAAAGGAAGAUUAAUACCGCAUAAGAUUGUAGCUUAGCAUGGAGUAGCAAGUACAGGAGGAAACCGCGAUGAGAUGGACCCGCGUCGCAUUAGCUAGUUGGUGAGGUAACGGCUCACCAAGGCGACGAUGCGUAGCCGACCUGAGAGGGUGGUCGGCCACAUUGGGACUGAGACACGGCCCAGACUCCUACGGGAGGCAGCAGUGGGGAAUAUUGCACAAUGGGGGAAACCCUGAUGCAGCAACGCCGCGUGAGUGAUGACGGUCUUCGGAUUGUAAAACUCUGUCUUCAGGGACGAUAAUGACGGUACCUGAGGAGGAAGCCACGGCUAACUACGUGCCAGCCGCCGCGGUAA
rnacentral:rRNA from 1 species